rnacentral:rRNA from 1 species
UACGUAGGCAGCGAGCGUUGUUCGGAGUUACUGGGCGUAAAGGGUGUGUAGGCGGUUGUUUAAGUUUGGUGUGAAAUCUCCCGGCUCAACUGGGAGGGUGCGCCGAAUACUGAAUGACUUCGAGUGCGGGAGAGGAGAGUGGAAUUCCUGGUGUAGCGGUGAAAUGCGUAGAUAUCAGGAGGAACACCGGUGGUGUAGACGGCUCUCUGGACCGAUACUGACGCUGAGGCGCGAAAGCGUGGGGAGCAAACAGG